GCCGGGCGUGGUGGCUCACGCCUGUAAUUCCAGCACUUUGGGAGGCUGAGGCGGGCGGAUCACCUGAGGUCAGGAGUUUGAGACCAGCCUGGCCAACAUGGUGAAACCCCGUCUAUU
rnacentral:SRP_RNA from 1 species